UACGUAGGGUGCAAGCGUUAAUCGGAAUUACUGGGCGUAAAGCGUGCGCAGGCGGUUCUAUAAGACAGAUGUGAAAUCCCCGGGCUCAACCUGGGAACUGCAUUUGUGACUGUAGAGCUGGAGUACGGCAGAGGGGGAUGGAAUUCCGUGUGUAGCAGUGAAAUGCGUAGAUAUGCGGAGGAACACCGAUGGCGAAGGCAAUCCCCUGGGCCUGUACUGACGCUCAUGCACGAAAGCGUGGGGAGCAAACAGG
rnacentral:rRNA from 1 species